CUUGCCAUUCCUAUUGAAUAAAAGAUGCCAGUACAAUGUACUUGCAUAAUAUCUAGUGUCGAAUACUGCAUGUAUGUAUUUGGAUGAUACUUCUUGAUUGAAACUAUAAAGUUUGAAAAAAAACUUACCACUUAAACAAACAAAUACACGUCCACUUAUAUUUUUGUCCAUCUGAUGAGUUAAGCCUUUUUCAACUGAUUUUUAUAGUUCGUUCUUAUGUUGUACUGUUAUACCACUGUCCCAGGUUAGGGGAGGUUGGGAUCCCGCUAACAUGUUUAACCCCGCCACAUUAUUUAUGUAUGUGCCUGUCCCAAGUCAGGAGCCUGUAAUUCAGUGGUUGUCGUUUGUUUAUGUGCAACAUAUUUGUUUUUCAUUCAUUUUUUUUUUUUUUUUACAUAAAUAAGGCUGUUAGUUUUCUCGUUUGAAUUGUUUUACAUUGUCUUAUCGGGGCCUUUUAUAGCUGACUAUGCGGUAUGGGCUUUGCUCAUUGUUGAAGGCCGUACAGUGACCUAUAGUUGUUAAUGUCUGUGUCAUUUUGGUCUUUUGUGGAUAGUUG
rnacentral:lncRNA from 1 species